rnacentral:rRNA from 1 species
GAUGAACGCUGGCGGCGUGCCUAAUACAUGCAAGUCGAGCGAACAGACGAGGAGCUUGCUCCUCUGACGUUAGCGGCGGACGGGUGAGUAACACGUGGAUAACCUACCUAUAAGACUGGGAUAACUUCGGGAAACCGGAGCUAAUACCGGAUAAUAUAUUGAACCGCAUGGUUCAAUAGUGAAAGACGGUUUUGCUGUCACUUAUAGAUGGAUCCGCGCCGCAUUAGCUAGUUGGUAAGGUAACGGCUUACCAAGGCAACGAUGCGUAGCCGACCCGAGAGGGUGAUCGGCCACACUGGACCUGAGACACGGUCCAGACUCCUACGGGAGGCAGCAGUAGGGAAUCUUCCGCAAUGGGCGAAAGCCUGACGGAGCAACGCCGCGUGAGUGAUGAAGGUCUUCGGAUCGUAAAACUCUGUUAUUAGGGAAGAACAAAUGUGUAAGUAACUAUGCACGUCUUGACGGUACCUAAUCAGAAAGCCACGGCUAACUACGU